GAGUGCUGUUAGUCAGGAGCAGGUGGACAUCAUCCUGCAGGAAAACGAUGCUCUCAGGACGAACCUGGCUGCUCUAGAACAGAUUCAGACGGUGAAGACGCAGGAGAUGAACCUGCUGAGGGAGCAGCAGGAGGUUCUGACAGCCGAGCUGCAGCAGGGACGAGCUGAGCAGGAGAAACUGUUGGCCCAGAGAGACGACCUCGACUCUCAGCUGCAGGAGUCAAGUUUCGCCAACAGGAAGUUGUUGGAGCAGCUAACAGAAGAAGGACAAGAGAAGGAGAAGCUGCUGAGAGAGCUGGAUGAAUCCAAGAAGGUUC